rnacentral:lncRNA from 1 species
GGGGUGGAAUCCAAACAGAAUACUAGGGACUUGGGGAGUUGCCCUACAUCACUGAUGGGCACAGAAUCAUGGAGAGCUGAGGCCUCGUGUUAGGAGCCUCGUGUCUGGGGGCAUGGCAAACGCCUUCCGGUCCUCACAGGAACACCUGCUGUGUCUCUGGGGUUUAAGCUUAGCUCAACCAGAAAACAGGCUGCCUUUCACCAUCCCACAGGGCCAGACUGAGGGAGAUUCUGGUUUGUCACCAGCAUUGACAUCUGGGAGAUGGACCCCUCUGGAUCUAACAAGACUCGGUUAAGAACAGUGAUGAGCCCACUAUCUUCUGACAUCAAAGUAGCGAAUUCAAGACUCAGACAAUAAGAUCAGCCACGGCCAGCUCCUGACAUGAGUGUUCCUGGCACACUGUGCUCCUGCAAACAGAUGCUCCUGUCACCUUGUGCACCUGACUCCAGUGCUCCUAUAUUCAGUGCUCCUAAAACCAGUGCUUCUGCUAUCUCCUGCUCCUGCCAUCUAGUUUCUGGCACCUCCUGCUCUUAACAUCAGGACUCAUACCACAGUGCUCCUGCCACCAAGUUCCUAGCUCCAGCCAAAGUGCUCCUGACACCAGUGCACCUAACACUAGUGUUCCUGACAUCAAGCUCCUAAAACUAGUGCUCCUGCCACAGUGCUCAGGUUAUAAGGCUCCGGACAACAGUGCGCCUGAAACACAGUGCUCCUCCUACACCUGCUCCUACCACAGUGCUCCUGCCACAGUGUCCCUGACACCAAUGCUCCUGACUCCAAUGCUCCACCCACAGUGCUCCACCCACAGUGCUCCUGCUAUGACCUGCUCCUGCCACAGUGCUCCUGCUCCCUCCCUCCUCCUGCAGCAAUGCUGCUGUACCAGUGCUCCUGUAACCUCCUGCUCCUGCCACCAUAUGAUCCCAACAACAGGGCUCCUUCCACCAUGUGAUCCUGACUCCAAUGCUUCUGUCAGAGUCCCCCUGUCACCAAUGCUCCUGCCACCACGUGCUCCUAACACCAGUGCUCCUUCUUCCAUGUGUUCCUGACAUAGUGCUCCUUACCCCAGUGUUCCUGACUCCAGUGCUCCCGACAAGAGCUCCUUCUACCUCCUGCUCCUGCAACCAGUGCUCCUGAGACCUGUGUUCCUUCCACCAUGUGCUCCUGACACCCUGUGCUCCUGACACCAGUCCUCCUGCCACCAGUGAUCCUGACUCCAAUGCUCCUGAUUCCAAUGUUCUACCCACAGUGCUCCUGCCACAGUGUUCCUGCCACAGUGCUCCUGCCACAGUACACCUGGCACCAAUAUUCCUGCCACAGUGCUCCUACCACCUGUGCUCCUGACACCAGUACUCCUUCCACCAUGUUAUGAUACCAGUUCUCUUUCCACCAUGUACUCCUCACACCACUGCUCCUUCUUCCAUGUGCUCUGGACACAGUGCUCCUUCUACCUCCUGCUCCUGCCACCCAUGGCCCUGACACCAGUGCUCCUUCCAAAACGUGCUCCUAACACCUUGUGCUCCUGCCACCAGUGCUCCUGACGCCAGUGCUCCUGACUCCAGUAUUGUAGUCAGGAGCACUGUAGUCAGGAGCACAUGAUGGAAGGAGCACUGACAAAAGGAGCAGGAGGUAGCAGAGGCAAUGUUUUAAAGUUCCCAGGAGUAUUAAGUAACAUCUGGGCUACUUAAAUACCAGUGCUCCUGCAACAGUGCUCCUGCUACCUCCUGCUUCUGACAUCAGUGCUCCUGACUUCAGAGCUCUGCCACAGUGCACCUGCCACCAAUAUUCCUGCUGCAGUGAUCCUGCUACUCGUGCUCCUUCUGCCAUGUGCUCGUGACAACAGUGAUGCUUCCACCAUGUGUUCCUGCCAACAGUGCUCCUUCAACCAUGUGACCAUAACACCAGUGCUCCUGACACCAUGUGCUCCUGACACCAAGACACAGCACUCCUGCUCCCUCCUCCUGCUGCAGCAAUGCUCCUGCACCAGUGCUCCUGUAACCUCCUGCUCCUGCCACCAUAUGAUCCCGACAACAGGGCUGCUCCUACCACGUGAUCCUGACUCCAAUGCUCCUGACACCAAUACUCCUGCCAACACAUGAUCCUGACAACAGUGUUCCUGCCACCAUGUGCUCCUGCCACCAUGUGCUCCUACCACCAGUAAUCCUUACACCAGUGUUCCUGCCACCAUGUGCUCCUGCCAUCAUGUGCUUCUGCCACCAUGUGCUCCUGCCAUCAUGUGCUCCUGCCACCAUGUGCUCCUGCCACCAUGUGCUCCUGCCCCCAUGUGCUCUGACACCAUGUGCUCUGACACCAUGUGCUCCUGACACCAGUGCUCCUGCCAUCAUGUGCUCCUUCCAUCAUGUGGCUCCUGCCAUCAUGUGCUCCUGCCAUCAUGUGCUCCUGCCAUCAUGUGCUCUGACACCAUGUGCUCCUGCCACCAGUGCUCCUUCUUCCAUGUGUUCCUGACACAGUGCUCCUUACCCCAGUGUUCCUGACUCCAGUGCUCCCGACAAGUGCUCCUUCUACCUCCUGCUCCUGCAACCAGUGCUCCUGAGACCUGUGUUCCUUCCACCAUGUGCUCCUGACACCCUGUGCUCCUGACACCAGUCCUCCUGCCACCAAAUGCUCCUGCAACAAUGUAGUCCUGCUACCAGUGCUGCUGCCAGCAGGUCUCCUGACAACAGUUAUCCAGACACCACUGCUCCUUCCACCAUGUGAUCCUGACACCAGUGUUCCUGACCUCAGUGCUCCUAACUCCAAUGCUCCUGACUCCAAUACUCCUGACACCAGUGUUCCCCCCACAGUGCUCCUGCCACAGUGCUCCUGCUAUGACCUGCUCCUGCUCCAUCCUCCUGCUGCUGCAAUGCUCCUGCACCAGUGCUCCUGUAACCUCCUGCUCCUGCCACCAUAUGAUCCUGACAACAGGGCUCCUUCCACCGUGUGAUCCUGACUCCAAUGCUCCUGACUCCAAUGCUCCACCCACAGUGCUCCUGCCACAUUGAUCCUGCCACAGUACACCUGCCACCAAUUUUCCUGCCACAGUGCUUCUGCCACCUGUGCUCCUUCUGCCUUGUGCUCCUGACAACAGUGAUUCUUCACCAUGUGUUCCUGACACCACUGCUCCUGAUACUGUGAGACCCCGACUUAGAGUGUUUCUCCUGGAAGGUAAAGCUCCUGGACGUCCCCCAAGCUUGUUUUUCCUGAUCUCUAAAAAUACAGCCAGAAAGAAGCUCUUUGUUCUCUAUAGCCAGCAAAAAGCCUUUUUGUUUCAGUGCCUUACAGCCAGAGAUGCAAUAAUUGUAGGAAGAUCUAUAAGGACAUGGAGUUAGAGAGGAGCUGCAGCUCACUCCCCCCACCCCUCGCCAGAAAGGAGCUAUAGCCAACUCUCCUCCCAUCUCCUCCCAACUCCUCAGCUAGCUGUUAAAAGCCCCCUACUGUUACCGCUCGGAGUUGAAUGCCCCUGCCCUGCACAGUGGAAGGAGUUUGUCCUCAGCUAGCUGAUAAUAAAGCCUCUUGCAGUUUG